UCAUUUUUGUUAUUAUACACUUUGAAGAAGAAGAAAAAAAAACAAAAGUAAAAGUAUUUCUCUCUUUUCUCAUCGCGGCAACAAGGCACUCCUCUCACAUCUCCUCUUCACCCUCGCUAACGCCCUUGCUCCCCCAUUCUCCACCGAUAGAUAGACAAUGAUGGCGUACAGUAGUAAUUAUGUAAGAGAAAAAAAAUGGUAAAACAUGAGACGAGCAACAGCAUCGAGCGACAAGUUGUCUCUGCUAAGUCGAUAAAAAAAGAUGAAAAUAACAAUUAGUGAGAGACGCUGUAUGAUUGUGUAUAUCAACAAUAAAUAAUUGCUGUGAUUAGAAUCGAUUAUAUUAGUAAGUAGUUAAGGAUCAAUUUUUAAGGCACUUCGCGGAGAGAGAGAGAGGGAGAGAGAGAGAGAGAGAGAGAGAGAGAGAGAGAGAGGGGGAGAGAGAGAAUAAAAUUUUUUACGAGAAAAAAAAAAAGAAGAUAAUGUGAGGUGUGUAAAAUGUCGCCUGUACGAUUUGCGACUGCGUCUUUCAAUGCGUAGAGAUCGUCGCCCUUUGUAACACAUGUCGCCCCGAGGACGUGUGUGUUGCGCACAGAGAGCGCGAGCUGUGAUCUCAUAUUCGAGUUCUGCGGACCUUCCUGAUCCUUUCAACAUCCUUAAUCGGACGAUAACCGAGUGUCCCGGACGUGUCUUUCGUAAAUUCGAUUUAUUAAUUUUUGUAAAAUGCGAAAUUUUACAUAUCUGCUCUUAACGCAUUUGUAAUCGUUACUUUCCAGAUCUAACUGUGUGACAAUACACGGCCGACCAAUAGAAAUUAUUAACGUGAACACGUGGACUGUUGAAAGGGUUGGGCGAGGGGCAGCGCGCUGCAUUCGCGAGAUCGUAGAAUAAAAAUAAAUGAUAUUACGAGGUGAAUCGCGCAGAGGAGGGACACAUUGAAAGUGCCGAUCGCGAAGAGAUUUUCGGAGCCGCGUCUCAAAGCAGAGAGGGUGGCUCCUACGAAAAUGUAUUUUCGCGAUAUUUUCCUCGCGAUCGGUCGCCUCGCACAGCGUAAAGUACAUUAUUCCAGGGUAAAGUUUUGUAAAAUCGUCUGGUACGCAAUAUUUUAUGUAAAAAGCAAAACACACAUAACGAAGACACACUUAACAACCAACACGUUCACACGGAGAACACAUUUUGAGCAUGACGUGAGAGAGAAAGAUGAGAGAGAGAGAGAGAGAGAGAAUGAGAGAGCGGUAUGAAUGGAGAGUAAAAGAGGAGGAACAUUUUCGUGAUGAUCGUAUUACCAUGAGAAUGAGAGACGAAAUAAAACACCUGCUGUAGGCCGGCGAUACGUAACAUACGUAUACGUAUGCGUAUAUAUACAUACUUGUACACAACAUACAAUUACACUGUAAGUAUAUAUAUAUAUAUAUAAAUAUAUAAGAGAUACUCAUACUUUAUAUAGCUGCAUUCGUCGUGUCAUUACGUAUACAGGGCUUGCGAGCGUUGACAGGUGAUUUGUCUCGGCUGGCGUGUUUAAGGAUCGCAUGGGAGCGAGCGAGCGAGAGAGGAAGGGAGAAAGAGAAAGGGAACGGAGAAUGAGAGGGUGUGUGUGCGCGUGCGGGGUGAGGAAGCUAUAUCUCUUGUAGUCGGCGUUACAUAUCUUCGACUCGUUGUUUGCGAAGCGUCACAUCGUUCAAAUCGUUGCAAAAUACCGACGUCAGUAAAGUAUCGACAUAUGUUGCAGAAAAAACGCUAUCAUUAGUAGUGUGGGAGCCCGCGAGACCCGUGACACGUUUAACGAUAAAUGUGGCUGUCUCUCCGUAUUUGAUAAAAAAAAAAAAAGAAAGAACAAGAAAAAAAAAAGAUAAAAAUUCCUACAUAGCGCACUUUAUCCAAGGGAUGUUUUCCUUUGAACGUCUCUCGGUAGAGAUGCUGUGUAGGAAUCGAUCACGGUGAGAAAGAUGAUCUACGCAUAGCUGCCUGUGGACUAGUUGUAACAAUGUUGAUUAAGGAUAAACGAUAUAUAUUAUUUUCUCCCCCUGCCUAUUUUACAAAUAAGACUACGAUAUAGAAAGGACCACGUGAUAAGGAUUACUUAAUUAAGAAUAAAUACAUCAUUAUUGCAACGCAUGUCCUGAAUGGCAUCGACCACUGGCGUUUUCGUAUAGGUACUUUCUAGCUCAUUAAAACGUAAAAACAGGGAUUCUGGACUCUCUGACAGCCGCGUUUAACGUUGCUCGUGCGCAGAAAAAUCUUGGGUUAACGCAAAUAGAUUCGGGAAGAACACAUAGGUGACCCUCGCCCAACCGUCUACCUACAUAUCAAAUCAUUUAGUUAAUGCCAGGAACCUUUCUGAUUAAAAAAAAAAAAGAAAAAAGAAAAGAAAAAAAAAACUCCAGAGUUCUCAUCCCGAUCCUCCCGCAGAUCAAAGGUCGGACAAACUUGCACAGUGUUAGAAAAAAGGAGAAAAAGACAUCGUUGAUCGUUGGGCACUACGCCUCUAGAGUAUAGCCCGAGGAUUCUGGGAAACUAGCUUUCGGAUCCCUCGACCCUUAUCCUCGUGUUUCUCCACCCGGGACUACCUCCUCAUCAUCUCGUCCUCCCUUCCACCUCACUCCGAAUCUCCCCAACUUCCUCCCGGUGCAUCCUAGGUUUAGAAGAUAUAUUUGUAUUGUCAGUUAUCACACACUACUAACACUAAUACUUACUACUACGAUCUAUAACUAUAAUGAUUCUUAUUAUUAUUAAUACUGCUAUUGUAUCACACCUCUCCAUAGGUCGCAUAAAUACGACAUGCCCUGUUGUUGUUGUUGGAUUGAUUAUCGAUCACGCGCGCGGAACGAGAAGUAAACGCGAAUAAAAGAAAAA